rnacentral:ncRNA from 1 species
AAGAUUUUGUGCGUUUCUCUCUCUACGUUCCGGAUUUCGUAGUGACGGAUUUAUGAGUAGAUUCGAUCGAAGAAGUUACAAAUUGUAUGAUGGAAAAACCAAAGUGAACCCUAGGUACACCUCAUUUCGGUGGUCCCGAAAUCAAUAGGGUAGUCCCGGGUUAUCACUGAUAAUUUCGAGAUGAAUUCUCCGUAAUUGUGUGUUCAUCGGAAAUAGCUGGUUUUCCGCGAAAUCCAUUUAAGUGGAGCGUCUAAUGUUCAGGCCCGAGGUAGAGCACUCAAUGGGCUAGGGUGGCCAAAAGCUUUACCAAUCCCAACGAAACUCCGAAUACAGGUCUCUGCAGUUAGUACAGACAGACUUUGGGUGCAAAGAUCCAAGGUCGAGAGGGAAACAGCCCAGAUCGUGCGCUAAGGUCCCAAUGCAAUUACUUAGUGUCAAAGGUAGUGAUCGCGCGAUGACAACCAGGAGGUAGGCUUGGAAGCAGCCAGCCUUUGAAGAAAGCGUAAUAGCUCACUGGUCCAGCUCCGUAGCACCUAAAAUGUAUCGGGGCUAAAGUAAUUCACCGAAGCGACGAGACUAGUCUCCGAGAUUGAUAGCUCGGGAAAGUGAGAACCUUGAAAGCACACAAGUAGCUCACGUAGUCUAUAUGGUCCAGAUAGUGUCUAACUAAGCUUAUUCAAGGGUCAGUAGCGGAACGUUCCGUAUAUCGGAGAAGGGGCUACACCUGGAGGKAUCAGAAGUGAGAAUGCUGACAUGAGUAACGAUUAAUCGUGUGAAAAACACGAUCAGUUCACGGGUUUUCACGUUCAGUCAAUCUACGUGGAGUGAAUCGGUCCCUAUAGUGGGAGAUGUAAGCACGAGUUACUCCGGCAGCUGUUUUAUGGCCCCCGCUGAUAGACUAGGGGCUAACCUGAUCUUUCUACUGUUGCCACCUAUACGCAAUUGUUUAUUAAAAACACAGGACUCUGCUAAGUGGAAACACAAUGUAUAGAGUCUUACAUCUGCCCAGUACUGGACAUCGUAUUAUGGGUUUCUGUCACUUUUCCCUAGGGAAUAAAACUAGAUAGGUCAGUUAUUAUAAGUAAAUUCUUGGAGAUUUCCUGAUUCCGAAAGCUGCCGGUGCACUUGGCCACCUUC